UGAGGAAUAUUGGUCAAUGGGUGCAAGCCUGAACCAGCCAUCCCGCGUGAAGGACGACUGCCCUAUGGGUUGUAAACUUCUUUUGUAUAGGGAUAAACCUACCCUCGUGAGGGCAGCUGAAGGUACUAUACGAAUAAGCACCGGCUAACUCCGUGCCAGCAGCCGCGGUAAUACGGAGGGUGCAAGCGUUAUCCGGAUUUAUUGGGUUUAAAGGGUCCGUAGGCGGACUUAUAAGUCAGUGGUGAAAGCCUGUCGCUUAACGAUAGAACUGCCAUUGAUACUGUAAGUCUUGAGUAUAUUUGAGGUAGCUGGAAUAAGUAGUGUAGCGGUGAAAUGCAUAGAUAUUACUUAGAACACCAAUUGCGAAGGCAGGUUACCAAGAUAUAACUGACGCUGAGGGACGAAAGCGUGGGGAGCGAACA
rnacentral:rRNA from 1 species